rnacentral:pre_miRNA from 1 species
CAUCUACUCCCUCUGUCCCAAAUUUCUUGUCUUAGAUUUGUCUAGAUACGGAUGUAUCUAAUACUAAAAUGUGACUUGAUACAUCCGUAUCUAGACAAAUCUAAGACAAGAAUUUUGGGACGGAGGGAGUAUUUC